GAGAAUGGGAAAGAAGGCGGUGCUAAUCGGAUGCAAUUACCCAGGAACUAAGGCAGAGCUCAGAGGAUGCAUCAACGACGUUAAACGGAUGCAUCAGUGUCUGAUCCGGCGCUAUGGAUUCUCUGAGGACGACAUCGAAAUCCUGAUUGAUACUGAUGAUUCCUAUACCCAACCCACCGGCAAGAAUAUCCGCUCCGCCCUUGCGCGUCUCGUCAGAUCCGCCGAUCCCGGCGACUUUCUCUUUGUUCACUACAGUGGCCACG
rnacentral:misc_RNA from 1 species